UACGUAGGGACCGAGCGUUGUCCGGAUUCAUUGGGCGUAAAGAGCUCGUAGGCGGCCACUCAAGUCGAAUGUGAAACCUCGAGGCUUAACCUCGAGCCUGCAUUCGAUACUGGGCGGCUAGAGUCUGGUAGGGGGAUCUGGAAUUCCUGGUGUAGCGGUGGAAUGCGCAGAUAUCAGGAGGAACACCGGUGGCGAAGGCGGAUCUCUGGGCCUUACCUGACGCUGAGGCGCGAAAGCUAGGGGAGCGAACAGG
rnacentral:rRNA from 1 species